CUCAUCCUGGCUGCCCUCACCAUGGCCUGUCCAGAUGCAGGAGCUCCUCUCUGAAUCUGGGGCUACUGGCAGAACCAGUAAACACGGAGUUACUCCUGUACUGAGCUGAGUAAAAUAAUCUGACUGAGAGGAUACACUGGCCUCAGUUUCGAGAAAUGCGUUUGGCACCAAGCCCUGCAAGGGCUCCAAGGAGCAGCUUUGGGGGAGACCUGCCUCCAGGAAUAUGUACCCCACCCGACACAUCCUGGGAGCCCCGUUUGGGGUACAAACAACAGGAAAGCAUUGAUGCAUUUUUCAAAAUCCAGCAGGAGGGAGCCGUGGGCUGUGGAUGCUGGCUGGGAAAGCUCCUCGGGCACAGCCCUGUGGGCAGGGAGGGGAGGAGGGCUCAGCCCUCACACAGGCCGCCUGGCACCAGGAGUCACAGGCCUCAGCCUUGGCAUGUCCCCAGAGUUCCAACCGCCACUCUUGCAGAAGCGGCCCAGCAGGGUGAGGGUGGGGCCACGUGGGGCUCAGCUGCAGGAGGCACACCAGGGCCUGCACUUCUCCCCCGCAGUGACCUGGGGCAGGGCAUUCGUUCUCUUUGGAGAAAUUUCCUCGUUGGUGAAAUGAAAUCGCUGCUUGGCUUCAGCCACAUAAUGUUAGGCACGCUAACUGCAGCCCGGGCAACCUUAGACCCUCAGGAAAUCAACAGAGGGGUGCCAGCUCCCUGCACAGGUCCUGGCCUAUCUCGGGAUGCCACUCAGGGCCCUCGUCUUCCCAGCCUGUGGCUCUGUACUCAUGAGGCCCCAGAGGUGCUCUGUCCCUUCCCUUUCAGCCCCUCAGCCAGUGGGCAGCACACGGCCACCCAAACACAAGAGGCCAGGACCAUGGACAGCAGGGGGCACAGAGCCCAGGCCUCCGUGAUCCUAGGAACACGCAGCAUCCGGGAACACGGAAAGGAAAGAUGGAGACAUGGGGCAGAAGGAAGCUGAGCAGGGACACAGGCCCCCCUCACAUCACAGACAUGCCCGGCCAGAGCGACCUGCCACAAGGAGAAGCCAGCCCAGCUGCUCCUGUCCCUGAAAACCCGGAGAGAGGGCUAGCGGAGAGGCUGGCACCUGGGCCAAGAGAGGGGCUACUCAGUUCUUCCAGAACAUUCCAGUGUGGCCCAUGGACGCCGGCCUUCUGGUGUCCAUUCUGUCCUGUGUCACUUCGGUUGAUGAGCUGCUUGAGACCAGAACUGUCCGAAUCCAGAACCGCCCACUACCUUAUGUGAGGCUGUGGCCAGAAAGCAAGCCAGACUUCUGAAGCUGCCUGGGCCUGUCCGGACACAGGAGAAUCCGGCCAUGAAGGAGGGUAAAGGAGGAAGCCAGACCUGGCACAAGGACAGGGUAGGGACCCAGUGAGAUCUCCAGGGAGGAAGCCAGGGCUCCUACACUGGGGCUGCUGUUCUCCGGGAGGAACUCCACCCAAGGAGAGUUUGGGAUUAUCAUGAGAGACAGGACUGCGUUUGUGCACAAUGCAGUGCGUCAGGUGCUGGCCGGGGGGCCUCGGGCCUCAGGAAGGAGAGUCACCCACCAGGCCAACUAGGAAAGAUGAAAGGUGAGUGCCCCUACGGGAGAAAGCAAAGCUGAGACAGCAUCGCGAGCUGAGGGAGAAACUGACAGAUGGCAGUUUACCAAAACCCAAAAACUGGUCAUUCUCUGGCCUUUAACAAACCAAAGUAUAUUUCUCCCUCUGAAAUAAGAAACACAGGACAAUUAUUAAGUUCCAAAAGUACAUUUCAUUUUGGAGGCACGUUGUUGGUCCCCUUUGGAAUCAUGAACCCCUGUGAGCGAAACACCUCCCACCACUGAUUCUGACAGGGCGCCGCGGGCAGUUCCCGGCCCAGGUGGAGGCAGACAGGUGCAGAGCCACAGGGCCACCACUGCAGUCCGGCCUUCUCUCCAGCCCUGGGUGCACCCACGGUUAUCAGGGACCCGGCGCUGCCUCCCUGCACCCACACAGCUCUCCACAGCAGCAAACGGGGUACAUUAGGGUGGACGGGAUGUGGGGCCAGGGCCCUGCUAGGGCUGGGGCGGCCUGCGGAGGGCCGGCACCAAGCAGUUCUGGGUGUGGAGGGUGGCCCUAUGUCAGCUGUUAGACACGCAGGGGAGGCACCUCAGAUGGCUACAGGUUUGAUUGUGUCCCCACAAAAAUUCAUAUGUUGAAGUCCUAACCCCCAGCACUGCUGAAGGUGACCUUAUUUGGAAAUGGAGUCAUCAAAGAUAUCAUUGGCUACAUUAAGAUAAGGUUAUACUAGAGUAGGGGAACACCUAGCUUAUUGCGACUGGUGUCCUUAUAAAAAGAAGGAACCUGGACAUAUACAGGGAGAACGCCAUAGGAGGACAGAGGCUGAGAUCGGGGUGAAGCUUCUCUAAGCCAUGGAGAGCAGCCUAGAACCGACCCUUCCCCCACAGCCCUCGGAGGGCGGCCUGGAACCGACCCUUCCCUCACAGCCCUCGGAGGAGGGCCUGGAACCGACCCUUCCCUCACAGCCCUCGGAGGAGGGCCUGGAACCGACCCUUCCCCCACAGCCCUCGGAGGGCGGCCUGGAACCGACCCUUCCCUCACAGCCCUCGGAGGGCACCCACCCUGCCCACACCUUGGCCUCAGACAUGUGGCCUCUAGAACCUGUGCAGUGAGUUCCUGCUCCCGGCCUGUGGUCCUUCCACGUGGAAGCAAAGCAAACUCCUCCAGGCACAUUCACCGCCAUUGGCAUGGGCCUCCAACACUGACCAGAGCCUCCCGUCACAUCUGCCCCUUCCCACCACUCCCCAGCCCAGAUGCCACGCUGUAAAAACAGCCUCAAAAAAACAUGAGGUCCACAGCUCCUCCAGGAGACUGGGCCAGCCCCAAGCACAUCCAGAGAGGUGGCUCCUCUGACUGGAGGCUCGCGCCAAAGCCACACAGAGACAGCUGCCAUUCUCGCUCGCUCACGCUUCCCCCAGAGCCUAAACCCUGACCAGCCAGCUCUACACAUUUACAUCUUUUUCUGGCCUCACACACUGUCUAGAAUGUCCAGUUGAAUGUUGAGAAGUCGUGGUCAAAGCAAAAAGCCCAGCUUUAUCCCCAGUCUUAGUGGGUACGUGUUUGGUGUUUCACGUUAAGAUACUGGCUGGCGGUGGGGCACAGUGGCUCACGCCUGUAAUCCCAGCACUUUGGGAGGCCGAGGCGGGCGGAUCACAAGGUCAAAGGAUUGAGACCAUCCUGGCCAACAUGGUGAAACCCCAUCUCUACUAAAAAUACAGAAAUUAGCUGCGUGUGGUGGCAGACACCUGUAGUCCCAGCUACUCGGGAGGCUGAGACCGGAGAAUCACUUGAACGUGGGAGGCGGAGGUUGCAGUGAGCUGAGAUCGCAGCAUUGCACUCCAGCCUGGGUGACAGAACGAGACUCUAUCUC
rnacentral:lncRNA from 1 species